rnacentral:rRNA from 1 species
AUUGAACGCUGGCGGCAUGCUUUACACAUGCCAGUCGAACGGCAGCGCGGGCUUCGGCCCGGCGGCGAGUGGCGAACGGGUGAGUAAUGCAUCGGAACGUGCCCAGUCGUGGGGGAUAGCCCGGCGAAAGCCGGAUUAAUACCGCAUACGACCUGAGGGUGAAAGCGGGGGACCGAAAGGCCUCGCGCUAUUUGAGCGGCCGAUGUCGGAUUAGCGAGUUGGUGGGGUAAAGGCUUACCAAGGCGACGAUCCGUAGCUGGUCUGAGAGGACGACCAGCCACACUGGAACUGAGACACGGCCCAGACUCCUACGGGAGGCAGCAGUGGGGAAUUUUGGACAAUGGGGGCAACCCUGAUCCAGCCAUGCCGCGUGCGGGAAGAAGGCCUUCGGGUUGUAAAACGCUUUUGUUCGGGAAGAAAUCCUCUGGGCUAAUACCCCGGGGGGAUGACGGUACCGGAAGAAUAAGCACCGGCUAACUACGUG